GUUAUUGCUGUUCCUGCUUGCGACCUGAAAGUAAAAUAAAAGAUAAGUUUGAUUACAAACAGUUUCUUCAUUGAGAUAAGAAACAUUACAAGUUUGACAGCUUAUACAUUCAGUGCAUCCACACCAGGUGCAAUGGCGUUCCUGACAAAUGUAUUACCUGUGCUUGUAGCUGUUUUCUGUGCUACUGAGGCACUAAGGUGUCACAAAUGUACAAACAUUGAUCAACGUGAUCCAACCUGCAGCAAGAGUGACAUAACAGAGGUGGACUGUGGAGUGAGUUUCACCCGCUGUGCAAGAAUUGUUUUCCACAAACCAGCCUAUGGUGAAGUGAGAAAAUGUGCUACUGAAAAGGACUGUAAAGUAAAUUCUC